UCUUCCUUAGCUCAGUUGGUUAGAGCACCUGACUGUUAAUCAGGGGGUCGUUGGUUCAAGUCCAACAGGAAGAGCAA
rnacentral:tRNA from 1 species